rnacentral:lncRNA from 1 species
UAAAAAGCAGUUAGCAGGUUUAUUGCAGGAAAGCAAAUCCAUUUGGUGCUUUACUGGGAUAGGAAUAGUUGAGGGAAUACUGUUGUCUUCAGGCAUUUACAGGGCAAAAAACCCUUUACAAAGCUGGUUUGGGUUGGGGAAGAUGAUGAGAUUUUUGCUGUGUUCGUGGUUCCUCAAGAAAGACAGCCGAGAUGCAGCCAGCCUAAAUUCCCAGCCUAAAUUCCCUGUUUGCUAGAGAAAAAGUGAUGGUGAGCUCAGCUGCUCAGACAGCCUAAGGAAAGUGCUGCGGAGGGAGCUGUCGGAGCCAGCCCACAAGGAGCACUAGGACUAGUAGGGAAAUGAGUCAGGCUGAACCAGGGCUUCAGAUGUUUACAGGAAACUGGUGUUAUUCUGUGGAAUUGUCCCUGAAGGGCUGGAAGCUUGCAAACACUGCUUCCACCACAAAUGGCACUGGCAGAGGCUCAUCCUUGGCUCCAGAGAAAGGCUGUGGACAGCUUGCACUGUGCAGGAGGAUGGAUCUGCAUGGGACUUUUCACAGGAACCAGCCCUGCUUGUGUUGCCAAACUUGGAUGGACUUUGACAAGUGUAGAUCCAGAGCAGCAUUUCUCAUUUCAGGCACUGCUUUGGGUUAAGGGAAUUGGGAUCCAUGUGAGGGAGAACGUCAUUUGCACAGAACAACCUCAUAAAAAUGUCUAAAAAUUGACGAAAUAUGGAAAUGUUGUCAAAACAAACAAGCUGCCUGCUUGUAACCACAGCUUUACUUACCAGGCUCUUUUUCCAGCCCACUUAAACCUCUCCUUGCAGCUACAAUUAACAGAGCACACAGUCCACAGAGCCAGAGCAGAAAGCACAGCUCAGGAUGCCCUGCCAGUGCUGUCUCUACUGACACCUGUGUCUUCUGAGGUGGUCACGGGUCCCCUGCCAGGCUGGGUUUCAUCUCACCAGCACAGUUUAUCUGACCCAUUUUAGAUGCAGGCUCGAAGUGAAUUUUGGUGUGGGUGUGCUGCUUCCCUCCAGUGACUGUAAAAGUAUUGAGGCUUUGAUACAUGUAGAUAAACAUCUCUUUUGAGCCACGUGAAUCCAAGCAGAAAUGCUGAACCAUCUACCAGGCAUGAUGCUGGCCUGCAUCCCACGUUUGGCUAUCCUUGCCAUUGCUGAGUAAACUUCAGGGGCUCACAUCAUUUCUUCUUCAGGUCUUGGAGUGUCUCACCUUCAGCAGAAGUUCCUUAGGGUUGACUAGUAAAAGUGUGUGAAUACCCAGG